UCACCUACGGGGGGCAGCAGUGGGGAAUAUUGCACAAUGGGGGAAACCCUGAUGCAGCGACGCCGCGUGAGUGAGGAAGUAUUUCGGUAUGUAAAGCUCUAUCAGCAGGGAAGAAAAUGACGGUACCUGACCAAGAAGCCCCGGCUAACUACGUGCCAGCAGCCGCGGUAAUACGUAGGGGGCAAGCGUUAUCCGGAUUUACUGGGUGUAAAGGGAGCGUCGGCGGCUGUGUAAGCCAGAAGUGAAAGCCCGAGGCUCAACCACGGCACUGCUUUUGUCACUACAUGGCUUGAU
rnacentral:rRNA from 1 species